CCCUGAGGAAAAGAAAUCAACCGAGAUUCCCUUAGUAGUGGCGAGCGAACGGGGACCAGCCCUUAAGUGGCUUUGAGAUUAGCGGAACGCUCUGGAAAGUGCGGCCAUAGUGGGUGAUAGCCCUGUACGCGAAAAUCUCUUUGUCAUGAAAUCGAGUAGGACGGGGCACGAGAAACCUUGUCUGAACAUGGGGGGACCAUCCUCCAAGGCUAAAUACUACUGACUGACCGAUAG
rnacentral:rRNA from 1 species